UGGCGGACGGGUGAGAAACACGUGGGUAACCUGCCUCAUAGAGGGGAAUAGCCUUUCGAAAGGAAGAUUAAUACCGCAUAAGAUUGUAGUACCGCAUGGUACAGCAAUUAAAGGAGUAAUCCGCUAUGAGAUGGACCCGCGUCGCAUUAGCUAGUUGGUGAGGUAACGGCUCACCAAGGCGACGAUGCGUAGCCGACCUGAGAGGGUGAUCGGCCACAUUGGGACUGAGACACGGCCCAGACUCCUACGGGAGGCAGCAGUGGGGAAUAUUGCACAAUGGGGGAAACCCUGAUGCAGCAACGCCGCGUGAGUGAUGACGGUCUUCGGAUUGUAAAGCUCUGUCUUUAGGGACGAUAAUGACGGUACCUAAGGAGGAAGCCACGGCUAACUACGUGCCAGCAGCCGCGGUAAU
rnacentral:rRNA from 1 species